UACGAAGGGAGCUAGCGUUGUUCGGAAUCACUGGGCGUAAAGCGCACGUAGGCGGGUUUGUCAGUCAGGGGUGAAAUCCCGGAGCUCAACUUCGGAACUGCCCUUGAUACAGCAAGCCUUGAGUCCGGAAGAGGUGGGUGGAAUUCCUAGUGUAGAGGUGAAAUUCGUAGAUAUUAGGAAGAACACCGGUGGCGAAGGCGGCCCACUGGUCCGGCACUGACGCUGAGGUGCGAAAGCGUGGGGAGCAAACAGG
rnacentral:rRNA from 1 species